GCACAAGCAGCGGAGCGUGUGGUUUAAUUCGAGGCUACACGAAGAACCUUACCAGGGUUUGACAUGCAAGUGGUAGGAAUCCGAAAGGUGACCGACCCUUCGGGGAGCUUGCACAGGUGCUGCAUGGCUGUCGUCAGCUCGUGUCGUGAGAUGUUCGGUUAAGUCCGCUAACGAGCGCAACCCUCGUCGUGUGUUAUACGUGUCACACGAUACUGCCGGUAUCAAGCCGGAGGAAGGUGGGGAUGAUGUCAAGUCAGCAUGGCCUUUAUAUCCUGGGCUACACACACGCUACAAUGGCAGAUACAAUAGGUUGCGAAACCGCGAGGUGGAGCCAAUCCUCAAAGUCUGUCUCAGUUCAGAUUGUAGGCUGCAACUCGCCUGCAUGAAGUUGGAGUUGCUAGUAAACGCAGGUCAGCUAUACUCGCGGUUCCGAAUACGUUCCGGCCUU
rnacentral:rRNA from 1 species